GAUUGGAGCCUUCCGCUGUUCCCCAGAGAGUUCCCUCGGGACCACGCUCUCUCACCCCGUCACCCCGUCACCCCGUCAGCCUGCUGGGAAGCCAUGAUGAGCUGCAGGAUUUGUGUGUGUUUGCGUGUUGAGGAGACUCGGACGUCUCUCUGGACCUGGAUCCAGAGCAGGUACUCUGUACCUGGCUGGACAUUACCCAGAAGCCUUCUUACAUGGACACGGCAAGACUUGCUUAACUUGUGCAUGUGUGAUGCAGCUUUAUAUAAUUGUAAAAUGUAUUAGUUAAAUGGAAUGAAUGAUCUCAUGAGCUCCGAUGUAUUUUAUAGGUCAACUACUGUACAUGCUGAAAGUGUCCAUUAGAUAUUUGAGUGUGUCUGUUUCUGAUACUUCGUUUGUGAGGGUGCUGGUGCUAAGG